AAAGUCCUUGUCAGGUAAGGAUUAGCCAUCCACCUGUACCGAGUGUUGCGUGAUUGGGAAGGAUAGAUAUACCAUCGAACGACCCACACGAAGCGUACACAGGGAAUCAUAUAGGCCACA
rfam:Candidatus Magnetoglobus multicellularis str. Araruama Cont1150, whole genome shotgun sequence.